rnacentral:rRNA from 1 species
GACGAACGCUGGCGGCGUGCUUAACACAUGCAAGUCGAGCGAUGAAGCACCUUCGGGUGUGAAUUAGCGGCGAACGGGUGAGGAACACGUGAGAAAUCUGCCUUCAACACUGGGAUAACUCCGGGAAACCGGGGCUAAUACCGGAUAUGAAACCUGCGGGCAUCCGCGGGUUUGGAAAGUUUUUCGGUUGAAGAUGAUCUCGCGGCCUAUCAGCUUGUUGGUGAGGUAAUGGCUCACCAAGGCGACGACGGGUAGCCGGCCUGAGAGGGCGACCGGCCAAACUGGGACGGGGACACAGCCCAGAGUCCUACGGGAGGCAGCAGUGGGGAAUAUUGGGCAAUGGAGGAAGCUCUGACCCAGCGACGCCGCGUGCGGGAUGAAGGCCUUCGGGUUGUAAACCGCUUUCAGCAGGGAAGAAGCGAAAGUGACGGUACCUGCAGAAGAAGCACCGGCUAACUAUGUGCCAGCCGCCGCAGUAA